rnacentral:rRNA from 1 species
GACGAACGCUGGCGGCGUGCUUAACACAUGCAAGUCGAACGGUGAAGCCCUUCGGGGUGGCUCAGUGGCGAACGGGUGAGUAACACGUGAGCAACCUGCCCCUGGCUCUGGGACAACCACUGGAAACGGUGGCUAAUACCGGAUACGACCCGCCUCGGCAUCGAGUGUGGGUGGAAAGUUUUUCGGCUGGGGAUGGGCUCGCGGCCUAUCAGCUUGUUGGUGAGGUGAAGGCUCACCAAGGCGACGACGGGUAGCCGGCCUGAGAGGGCGACCGGCCACACUGGGACUGAGACACGGCCCAGACUCCUACGGGAGGCAGCAGUGGGGAAUAUUGCACAAUGGGCGAAAGCCUGAUGCAGCGACGCCGCGUGAGGGAUGACGGCCUUCGGGUUGUAAACCUCUUUCAGCUCCGAAGAAGCGAGAGUGACGGUAGGAGCAGAAGAAGCACCGGCUAACUACGUG